rnacentral:rRNA from 1 species
UAGCGAAGGGGGCUAGCGUUGCUCGGAAUCACUGGGCGUAAAGGGCGCGUAGGCGGCCAUUCAAGUCGGGGGUGAAAGCCUGUGGCUCAACCACAGAAUUGCCUUUCGAUACUGUUUGGCUUGAGUUUGGUAGAGGUUGGUGGAACUGCGAGUGUAGAGGUGAAAUUCGUAGAUAUUCGCAAGAACACCAGUGGCGAAAGGCGAAUCACCUGGGGUUGUUCUGACGCUGAGGAGGCGAAAAGCUAGGGGAGCAAACGGG